GGUGUGGUUUGCAGACACCAGCAGGUGUGUUCAUGACAGGAGAACAGAGCGCUGAUUUCAGAUCUUCACUUUUAGUUUUGCUGUUUGUUUUUCACUCCCAAUAUAGUUUUGUAAAAAACGUUGUGUUGCAUUGAUUAAUUCAGGAUAAUUAUGUGGGAAUAUAAGGAAAUCAGUCCUUGUACUUAAAGCUGGCACCAGAAAUCUGAUGUCAUCCUGUCCAAACUGCUGCAUGGCUGGCAGACAGCAUGGCAUCCUGUGAUUGGUUCUGACAAGCCAGUGACAGCUCUGGAGGCUUCAUCUUUGCAGACAUUGGGAGCUGUCAUUUCGCACUGCCCUGUGAUGUGGGUGACACUCAGUCGCUGUGACAGGUGCUGGAGAGAGCACACUCUCCUCAGCAAAGAGGAGACAUUUCUUCAGUGGAUGGCGACCUGCCAGUUGGGCCUUGCUCAGUCAGAGUGCUGCAAAAGUCAACACUGAAGAGAGGAGGCUGGAGGGCAGAUGAAUCUCUCUUCUGAAAGUGCCAGGAUAAAUUGCCGGAAAUUAGCCAUAAAAUCUACUGUGCAGGGAGUGUGAGGUGAAGGCCGCCAAGGAGCCAAGGACAUUGGGCUGCCGUGGUUACGCUUGGCCUGCCCUGCCUCCCCCCAUAGUUGGCAUUCAUGGCUGUUAAAGACCUCUGCUCAGACGGAUACACUGAAGCCCCGAGUAGCACUCAACACAUCAGGAGGAUCAGCCAAGCAAGUGUUACACCAACGGCGGGGUUUCAUGCUCCAGUAACGUGACAGAUUUUUAUCAUAAGGAUGCAGUUUUUCUGGAUUUUGUUUAUUUUAAUCCAUUUAAACUCCUAAAAAAACGUCUUUAAAUCCUGUUAUUCAGUUAUAUGAACAACUUUUGUUAAAAAGAACUUGUUUCUGAAGUAAAGAAGAUAAAUUAUGA